rnacentral:rRNA from 1 species
CCUACGGGUGGCAGCAGUGGGGAAUAUUGCGCAAUGGGCGAAAGCCUGACGCAGCGACGCCGCGUGAGGGAUGAAGGUCUUCGGAUCGUAAACCCCCGUCAGCAGGGAAGCACGGUCACUGGGCUAAUCAGCAGUGAAUUGACGGUACCUGCAAAGGAAGCAACGGCUAAAUCCGGGCCAGCAGCCGCGGUAAUACGGAGGGUGCGAGCGUUAAUCGGUAUUAUUGGGCGUAAAGCGGUCGUAGGCGGUAUGUCAAGUCAAGGGUGAAAACCACGGGCUCAACGUGGGAACUGCCUUUGAAACUGGCAAACUGGAGUGUGUGAGAAGAUAGUGGAA